UCGGCAGUGGCAAACACCGCCCAGGCAGCAUCUGGGCACAUUAGGGAGAGGGAUGAGUGUGGUAUAAAUGAGGCUGGACCUUGAGUGCUCAGUACGAACGUUUACCCGGGAUGGCUCACAGUGCUUUUAUGCGUAAGUCGGAGCCACCCUGGUCUCAGGCUGAGCCAAGAGCACCAUCAUUUACCCCGCUGUUUCAGCUAAAAACUGGCAAGUCAUUUUGAUCUCAACUCUCUGCCCAUCUGCAACGCCUCGGGAAAAUUCUGCAUGUCUCUUCUAAAACUUCAUGACUUCCAGAUGACUACAGUGCACUUGGAGAUUAAAAUCUGACAUGUGUACGCUCAGGAUGUGAGGCUAAGCACUGCACUCAGGGUCAGCCGCUUUCGACCCAGAGAAGAGCAUGUCUGAUUGCAUGGGGGUUGAUGCCCCAGGUCCCACCUCUGAGAAAAAGGUAUUGGACGGGUCUGAUGCUCUUUGGCUGGAUGACACCUAAAUGAACAUUGGUACAAAGUCCCAAUUCAUUUCUAAUAUCAGAGAUCAGACCUCUACUCUUGCCUGAUGCGUCUAAAACAAAAAGGGGGAACUGUAGAGAGCUGCGGAAUGUUGUGCCUUAAAGAUGGAGCUGGUUUCUGCCUUCUACCUUCCCGAUGGUGAGUGCUCUCUGUCACGAACAACUCCACAUUUGGCUAAGGCUGAGGAUCUGGCUUGCUUCCGUGUAUGUGGACCUAUCUGCAUUGCCCACGAGGCACGCUGGGGUUGGCUACCCAGAGGCUAUUUAAGCUGUGGGCUGGCUUUCCCCAGGGUCGGAAGAUUGUUCAAGGUUCCUGAAUAAACUGCAUUGAGAAGAAAAAAAAACAAAACAAAAGAUCAGAAAGAAGGAGAGGAGGACCUCCCCUAUCAGUGGACUUGGGGAGAA